ensembl:lncRNA
AGGGCUCUUUUUGUUUUUGCAGCUGCUCACAUGCUGAAGUCUGACUGGACCCGGCCAAAACCGUUUCCAUGGUAAUUAAGCAUACACAGCUGUGGUGGUUCUUCCGAUGGACAAUAGUGAGAUGAGCAGACUGACCUUCAGUAAAUAAAUCAGUCUUCUUCUUUGCCCAAUCGAACACAGCGCUGGGAAAAGAAACAAGGGAACUGUGCCAGAACAGGCGGAAUAUGCUGAGGGGAUUUCGUGACAAGAAAGAAAUUAGAAAUGAGCUAUGUGUGGACGUAUGGAUAGUGUGUACACAUGGUGACACAGACGAGGGGUAAACAAAUGUUUUACAGCUGGGAAUCUCGUAGUGUUUAAGCGCACACUCUUCCUUAUGAUUGCAGCAGACUUAUGUUUAAAGAAAGAAAUGCAAAAUUAGAUGAAGAAAAAAAUCCAGACUGGAAUGUAAUUGACGUGGCCAUGGAUUCAACUUGCUCUGCAAGAGGAAAAGAAAUUGUAGAUGAGCCCCCUGUCUCGGAAAUAAGAAACAGAUGUCCUGCUUUUUUCACUUAUAGACAAGGCUUGAUCAGCACCUCCCAUGACUCCUGCAGUUCUACAACACCAAGAGAGUCAGUGAAAUACCAGAAAUCCAAAAUAUGAUGUGCCUUGAUAAAAAGCCAACUGAUGAUGUGGAAUUCACAAUUACUGGAGUUAAGGUGGGCAUCCUGACUGUGAGUGAGGAUACCAGACAGAUACCAGAUGGUUUCUUCCCAGCGGAUGUCCUGAAUUUUGCUGUGAUACUGGAGGAGAUUGUUGUUUCAGAACUAAUAGAUGUUCCUAUUGCUUUUGCUAUACUGUUUGGACUACUUUAUGUUCUGAACAUUGAUUAUCCCAAAGAACUACAAUAUACCUUUGAGGUACUUCAGAGAAUUUUCAUGAAACUUGGUGGAGAGAGCUGCACAGCAAGAGUUCACAGUCUAAAAAAUAAUUUAAUGCAGUGAAGGAAAAAUGGUGCAAUGCAGCCGUACUGUUCAAAAUAUUAUUUUUUCCCCCACAUAGAGCUUGGGGGUUAGAGCUUGAGCACCUACAAUAGGAACUUUUUUCACAUUGACAAAAAGGUUAAAUGGAUAGUUCACCCAAAAAUGAAAACUUGCUUAUAAUUUAACCUUCAGGUCAUCCAAGAUGAGUAUGCCUUUCUGUCUUCAUUGGAACACAAAUGUAGAACCAAAAAAUGCAAAUGAAUGGGUGGC